CCCUUAGAUGUUCUGGACUGCACGCGCGCUACACUGAUACGAUCAACAAGUUUACUAUAUUCUAUUUUUUAGAUGUAGACUCCUGUAUUGAUAAAUAUGGGUAAUCUUUGAAAUCGUAUCGUGUUGGGGCUUGACGAUUGUAAUUAUUUGUCACAAACGAGGAAUUCCUAGUAAGCGCAAGUCAUCAACUUGCAUUGAUUACGUCCCUGCCCUUUGUACACACCGCCCGUCGCUCCUACCGAUUGAAUGUUCCGGUGAACCCUCGAGAGCUGUGGUUGCUAUUUUCUUUUUGAAUUAGUUUCUACUGGUGAACUUGUGUAAACCUUAACAUUUAGAGGAAGGAGAAGUCGUAACA
rnacentral:rRNA from 1 species